GGAGAGGUGACCGAGUUGGCUUAAGGUGCGCGCCUGCUAAGCGUGUGUUCUGAGAAAUUGGGACCCAGGGUUCGAAUCCCUGCCUCUCCGCCA
rnacentral:tRNA from 1 species